rnacentral:lncRNA from 1 species
UCUAUGUAUUCACACAUGUAUUACGAUUUCCGGACAAUACAAUUAUAGCAUGAAUAACAAACAAUUACCAUGAACAAAGAAAUAUAAUAAUAACCAUUUAUUAUUGCCUCUAGGGCAUAUUUCCAACAUGUUAAUCACAUAGCGAUGUGAACUAGAUUAUUGACUCUAGUAAACCCUUUGGGCGUUGUUCACAUGGCGAUGUGAACUAUAGGUGUUAAUCGCAUAAAAAUGUGAACUAUUGGUGUUAAAUCACAUGGCGAUGUGAACUAGAUUAUUGACUCUACUGCAAGUGGUAGACUGAAGGAAAUAUGCCCUAGAGGCAAUAAUAAAGUUGUUAUUUUAUAUUUCCUUAUAUCAUGAUAAAUGUUUAUUAUUCAUGCUAGAAUUGUAUUAACAGGAAACUUGAUACAUGUGUGGAUACAUAGACAAAACACAGUGUCCCUAGUAAGCCUCUACUAGACUAGCUCGUUAAUCAAAGAUGGUUAAGUUUCCUAACCAUAGACAUGUGUUGUCAUUUGGUGAACGGGAACACAUCAUUAGGAGAAUGAUGUGAUGGAUAAGUCCCAUCCGUUAGCUUAGCAUAGUGAUCGUUAAGUUUUAUUGCUAUUGCUUUCUUCAUCAUGACUUAUACAUAUUCCUUUGACUAUGAGAUUAUGCAACUCCCGGAUACCGGAGGAAUACAUUGUGUGCUAUCAAACGUCACAACGUAACUGGGUGAUUAUAAAGAUGCUCUACCUGUAUCUCUGAAGGUAUUUGUUGGGUUGGCAUAGAUCGAGAUUAGGAUUUGUCACUCCGAGUAUCGGAGAGGUAUCUCUGGGCCCUCUCGGUAAUGCACAUCAUAAUAAGUCUUGCAAGCAAUGUAACUAAUGAGUUAGUUAUGGGAUGAUGCAUUACGGAACGAGUAAAGAGACUUGCCGGUAACGAGAUUGAACUAGGUAUGAAGAUACCGACGAUGGAAUCUUGGGCAAGUAACAUACCGAUGACAAAGGGAAUAACACAUGUUGUCAUAACGGUUCGACCGAUAAAGAUCUUCAUAGAAUAUGUGGGAGCCAAAAUGAGCAUCGAGGUUCCGCUAUUGGUUAUCGACCGGAGAGGUGUCUCGGUCAUGUCUACAUAGUUCUCGAACCCGUAGGGUCCGCACGCUUAACGUUCGAUGACGAUUUGUAUUAUAUGAGUUAUGUGAUUUGGUGACCGAAUGUUGUUUGAUGUCUUGGAUGAGAUCACGGACAUGACGAGGAGUUUCGAAAUGGUCGAGAGGUAAAGAUUCAUAUAUAGGAUGAUAGUAUUCGGACACCGGAAGUGUUCUGGGGUUACCGGGUACGUAUCGGGUAACCGGAAGGGGUUCCGGGCUACCCCCGGCAAACAAUAUGGGCCUUAUGGGCCAAGAGGGGAAACACACCAGCAUCAAAGGAGCUGGUGCGCCCCCCAUAUGGGCUGGCCAAAUUGGAGAAGGAAAGGGGAAGGAGGAAAGGAAAAAGGGAAUAGGAUUCCCCCUUCCCCCUCUUCCCUUCCUACCCCAAAUAGGAAUAGGAAAGGGGGAGGCCGAGUUGGGAGGUGCCCAAGUAGGAUUCCUCCUACUUGGGGCGCCCCCUUGGCUGCCUCUCCUCCCCUCCAACCUAUAUAUAUGAAGGGAGCACCGCUAGAGCACACAACAAACAUUGUUAGUCGUGUGCGGCGCCCCCCUCCACAGUUUACGCCUCCGGUCAUAUUCACGUAGUGCUUAGGCGAAGCCCUGCGCGGAUCACUUCACCAUCACCACCCGUCGUGCUGACGGAACUCUCCCUCGACACUUUGCUAGAUCAAGAGUUCGAGGGACGUCAUCGAGCUGAACGUGUGCAGAACUCGGAGGUGCCGUACGUUCGGUGCUUGAUGGUCGGAAUGACAAGAAGUUCGACUACAUCAACCGCGUUGUCAAACGCUUCCGCUUUUGGUCUACGAGGGUAUGUGGAUACACUCCCCCUUCUCGUUGUUAUGCAUCUCCUAGAUAGAUCUUGCAUGAGCGUAGGAAUUUUUUUGAAAUUGCAUGCUACGUUUCCCAACAGGUUGCACCGCUCGGGCCUGGCUCCACAAAAACGGCUGAUUUGAGCGUUCCUCUGGAUGCAGGCCCGGAUGUGCUUUAAUGUUCGUGUUAUGCAGGCAUAACAAUGAAUGCGGGUAACCAAACAUGUCAUUUUCUUCCCGCACGGAUCUGGCUGAGAUAUAUGCGGGUUACCAAACGCAUCCUCGUUGACCGAAUGGUCGAUCUGCUUGAGUGUGGUGAUGGGAUCGUACAUGCGCAAGCACACAAUUGAUCGAUCAUGCUAACUGGUAUUAUAGGAAUACAAGAAACGCAAUGGAGAGCAACACGUCGCCUAAUGAGAAAAGUCCACAUACCCCUCUGAAGUUUCGUGAAUCGACUACUUCACCCCCAGAACUUUAAAACCGGGCAUGCAACCCCUAAGCUUUGCAAUACCAGCGAUAUCACCCUUGGAUACAUCGACAGUGGUUUUGCUAAUGUGGAGUGCCGGCCAAGUCAACAAAACAUGGAGUGUUGACUAUUGACUUGUACUGUCACCACAUCAAAGAGAUGGAUAGCGAAAGCAGGAGGUGGAACCGUGGAAGUGGGAGCAAUUUGCCACCACUGCUUAGGAGCUGAUGGAGACCGACUGUAACCACGUCAACCAUGAUCUAGGUUGUUUUUGUUGACUUCCAUCAACAUCACAGAUCUCAUCGUCAAAGCCCCUGGAGGCAUCUCUGGCGGUAGCGGCCAUUGACAUACUCCUGGCCGGUGAGAUGGCUUUGAAUCCAUGUUGUCACCCUUGACAUUAUCACCUUCCAUGGGCAUGGGGCGACGGAACUAGCCUCUUUUUGAAACUUCAACACAAAAUGACCCCAAUCUGAAAAUAUUUUCUAAACCGGUCCCUUUUUGCAUGACGCCCAGAGCUGGGGCGCCAUGCAAAAGGGCUAAUUUUGAGAAAUAUUUUUCAGAUUGAAGUCAUUCGUGCUGAAGUUUUAAAGAAGGGUCAGUUUCGUCCAUUUUCACGGGGCGCCCUCCCUCCUGCUUUGCCACCCCUUUCCUCUCGUCGGCCAGGUGGCGGAUGGGAACCCCAAAAUACGGGACAGUAUAAGACAUAUUUAAGGAUAGUACACGAGAAAGGCGCUCUGGCGCAGUGGUCAGGGUAGCGUAUGUGCACCCUGCAACCAGAGUUCGAUUCAAUGAUUUUUUUUUUUGUCCAUCCAGAAAAGCAAUGAAAAAAAAUACUACUGCCCCGCAAUUACCUCCUCGCGUCGCGACGUCCUCCGCCCCUGAUUCCUCUCUCCUCGCCGCAGCCCCCGUCCCCGUCCCCUUCCCCCUGUCGAAGCUCUGCCGCCCCCGCUGCGACGAUCAAAGCUCCGCCAUCCCCGUCCUGUACUCCCUUGGAAAAGAUCGUUUUUUUCGACGGGAGGAGUAAUUCCGGCCUAGAUCCGGUGGUGGCGAUGCCGGAUCCUGCGACGGCGCCGACGCGAGCCACCAAGGGCAACGCAUGCCGUGGACCCCCUCUCCGGCUGCGCUUCCGCGAAACCCUAGCGGCUCCGCGUCCCGGCGACCAUCUCCGAGGCGGACAGCCAUCCCCGUCCCGUACUCCCUUGAAAAGAUCGAUUUUUUUCGACGUGAGGAGUAAUUCCGGCUUAAUCCGGUGGUGGCGGUGCCGGAUCCUGUGACGGCGCCGACGCGAGCCGCCAAGGGCAUCGCAUACCGUGGACUCCCUCUCCGGCUGCGCUUCCGCGAAACCCUAGCGGCUCGGCGUCCCGGCGACCAUCUGUAGCAGCCCGAGAAGGCCCGGACAAAUUCUUGGAGCAGUACGCCCGCCGCUCCAGCAACUUUCCUCACCGCCGUCCGUCGUCAUCAAGGUCACCCACAUCCUUUACUCCUUAUUACUCUUUUUUCCCUGCACCAUCAUGCGUAUUUGUAUUUGUAUUUGUGCUACACCAUCACCAUCAUGCUUCCUUCUUUUUGCUACUCCAUCAGAUCAGAAUCAGCAAGUAUGGAUGCAUCUUUGUUGCGUAUGGUGUAAAUUUGUGCAUUGCAUAAUUGUUGUCAAUAUUUGAAACUGUUUUAACAUGUGCUCAGAGUUGCUCGAUACGUCGUUCAAGUCCAUCACAACUGCUUGGGGAAGUGGGGAGCUAGUUCCAUUUUCCUUUUCUUUCUAUAGUACCUAAACUGGAGGAGUUCAGCAAAUUAUGAGGCAUCUCUACCCAACUAGAGAGGACUGGUUAGAUUAAUUAGGCCAGCAUCUUGUUCAUGCCUGAAACAUGUCUUACUCUAUUUUGUUGUGGUUUAGCGCUUUUUUCUUCAAAAUCUGCAUUCAAGUCUUCAGCUCUCAAUAUUCUUUUUCUGGUUUAUUUAUUUAUGUACAUACUCUGAGAGAGGACUGGUUAGAUUAGGCCAUCGGAGUAUCUGUUUGAUGUGAUGAAUUUCAAUCCUGCAUCGCAGUAUUUAUUUGUUGAGCUUUAUCUGUCUUUUUCUCAGGUUCUCUCGGUGGUCGGAAUUUUGCAAGAUGAAGUUGAUCCUAUUCUUUCUACCAUGAAAAUUGAAAUGGCACCUUUGGAGUCUUGUGCUGACGUUGGUGGUUUAGAUGCUCAAAUUCAAGAGAUCAAACUAUACGAGGACAUUGGAUUCAGGCCUCCCAAGGGAGUCAUACUGUUUGGGGAACAGAGAAAGCUCUACUUGCAAAGGUUUUAUCUUUUAAUCACUUCCAUUUGGCCCUGAAGGCUUGAUAAUCCAUGUUUUGCUACUUUCAAACAUCUCAUAACUAACAUACAUCUUUUCCUAGAAAAAGUGUAACAUCUUUUUUAUCGUUUCAAAUAUGAUGAAAUUUCCUUUGAUUCAAGACUGAAUGUGAAGUACUUGUGCUGCUCACUAACUUUAACUAUCAGCAUGCACAUUCUCACAGUUAACUAAAACUGAAUAUAUUACAAUAAUGCAACCACAUCUCUGAAAUGAGAGUACACUUAAGCCCUAUUCCCGAUAGCCAAUUCUUCACUAAUUCAUGGAAAUAGAUGAGUGAAAAAGACAAGUAGCUACAUUAGCUUUUGUUCUAAAAUUGUGUUUUCAGUGGAUUGUGUAAAAUUGAACUCAAAUUAUUUAAAUUAUCUGUAGAUGUUCAGCAUCGAACCAUUUCUUCUGUGAUUAUACAUAUUCAAAUCUUUAACCCAACUGACAGAAGAUGCUGUCCUUAGUUUUUUUUUCGAAGCAAUAACCAAAAUAAAAAUAUCAGUGCUUAUUUUCAACCUGUGACUGCUAACAGCAGCAACUUGUACCCCUCAAUAGCAUAUUUACUCUGUCCUUUGUACUACUGUAAAGUGCAUAGAAUAUGUGUGAGAACCCGGAUUUAACUUCCAGACCCUCCUGUGUAUAUUUGUCAACCCCAGGAUCAUUGUUGACAACACAGCAAAAUGGUAUCAUUGCACAAUGCGUAAAAGCAUUACAAGUAGUAUAUUUUUCACAAGACAUACCUACUGAACUGUCUCAUGACAUUUAUUACAUUCAGAAAACAGCGGAAAGUACAAUGCAUAGCGACUCCAUCUCAGCCACAGGCAGUCGAUGUAGUCCACGUGACCUCAUUUCUACGGAUCGCCAUAGUAGUCGUAGUCAUCACCUUCGUCUUCAUGGAACUCUGUUGGCAACAAAUUUUUUGCCAUGAGUACAUUACAUACUCAACAUGCCUCCCUCGGGGAAGGUCCUAAUAGCUACAUGUGGCUUCAAAGGAAGGUUGUAUGGCUCAUUUGCAUAAAAGCUAAUUUUGUUUGAAAGAAUAUAGCAGUUGGAUAAAAGCAGUUUUUGAUGAAAACAAGUUUUAUCUCCAGAAUAACUUUCAUCAAAGUGAGAAUCCUCGAUCAACUCACACUCUUCAUAGGUUCCAAGAAAAGGGAAAAGAGGGAAUAAGCAAGACUGUAUGUCAAGAAAGAUUCAUGUGCCGUCCAUGACCGUGGACACGGCUAUUCGAAUAGUUUUACACUCUGCAGAGGUUGUACACUUUACCCACACGACACAAUCCCGACUUGUUGCCACUAGCCGUCGCUAGCGUAGUACACGAUCUGGUAUACCGGCAGGGAGAUUGUGACGAGGUCUUUAGACUAGAUCCCCCAAAGAUGUGACAUGCCCACCGGGUCUGGCGCACGGAACUGAGAGUACGUCCUCAAACCGGUCCCCCCAUCUGUGCCGAGGAUACCCCUCGCAAGGCAGCUAUCCCAUCUGCGGUACGGCGACAUCGACACCUAAGGCUGACUAGCUUACUUGACCAAGCCAGUGCCCAUAUAGCAUAUGGUUGUACUGUUAUCACAAUCUUCAAAUCCAAGACUUAUUAGGCCUUAAGCGGCACGGACGACUGAUUGCCCCCUUCAACUCGUGAAGGGCAGCCAAUCGCUCCUUCAAUCCUUGAUUCAACUGUCGCCCGCGCCAGUAUUCAGAUGGUAAGUUUCACCCAGAGUAGAAGACAGUAGAGGAUAUCAAUAAGGCCAUCUGGCCUAGCUCAGCGGUAAGUUUCAACUGUCAAUGACUCAGAGGUCAUUCAACAAAGCACCUAUAGGGUAAUAAGCAUGGCUAAGCAUUUCUACUCUACAAGAAUACUAUAAUUCUACUCAGGUGUCAAGUGAAUAGGCGACAAGCGGAUCAAGGUAAUGUGUCAAUUGACACGCUAGCUACGAGAAUUAAAAUAGCAUGCACAUAGAAACAAUAAAACUCAAUGCAAUUUUGUAAACCGUAGGAUAAGUAUGAUCAAAGAAGAAGGCAUGCCUUCGUUGUUGAGUCCUUCACUAAUUUGUUCUGUCCAUGUCCAACAUCGAUAUCGUCACUCCCCUACUCGUCGGAACGAUAGCAAAAGACAAACAAUAAAUACUAAAGCAAAAGUAAAUCCAAAUAACAUCCAAAACAAUUUAAAAUUGGAUGGACAGCAAGAUAUUGAUCAAGAUGGAGACUUCGAAAUGAGGUUGAUUAGGAUGUAAGAGAAAGGAUUCAUUGAAGUGACAUGGUUGAGGUUGACACAGCUAAGAAAUACUUGGCGAUCAAGACUAACGUUCCAAUACGAAUAUGCAAUUAAACACUGUUAGUGCCCACUACACAUCUCGACAAACUAUAUAGGAAACUACGAUCUAACAAACACAAUGGCAUCAACACACAUGAAAAGGAACCAUCCUAUGCAUUUAACCACACAAUUACAACAUGACAUGAUGAAGGUAAUAGUUAACCACAAAUAGAUAUUUAGAUAGAAUCUAAAUAUUUAUAAUGGUCAAUAGUAGUCAAGCAUAUACAUCAACUAUAUAAUAAUUCGAAAGGCAAUAGUUCCGUAAGACAAACGAACAAACAUUACAAACCAUACUAGUUAAGCAAUCAAACAUCACUCAACAACAUGAAUCGAAUUGACCUAGGUCUAACCCUAUAACAUUAUUAAUAUGAAAUAGGAUCAAUUCUAUUAUAACAAACCAAGUCAUUUGUCAAACAAUUAACAAGAAACUAUACAAGACAUGGAACAAAAGAGUGAACUACUAUCCAGGCAUGAUAUGAUUAAGAUUAAUAAUCAACCACAAGUAAAUAUUUGGAUGUAUCCAAAUAUUUUAUAAUGGUUAACAAUAAGCAAAGACUAAACACCAAUCAUAACAACUAUUAGCAAGCAUUUCUAUGACAAAAGACAAACCAAUGCUAUCAAAAAAUAAUUGGAAAAUUAAAUAACCAGACACAUCAUACAAGGCAUGUGAGUAUAGAAUCGUGAAGAGGUCUUAUCUAAUAACAAAAGCAUUAAACAUAUGAGUGACCAUGAGAAGAUACUAAACUAGGACACUCUUUAUAAUAAAGGAAACAACUAAUAUCCAAAUGACCUCUAGCAAAAAUAUUACCACAACAUGAUUAACAACAAAGCAACAAUGUGCACUAAGCAUAUGAGAAAGACACAACUCAACUAUUGAAAGGUGAACUAUCCUAAUCAUGUGAUGAGCUAACGCAACAUGUGCCAAACACUCAUAACACUAACAUAUAUGAGCAACACAAGUACAACUAUAACACAUGGAAUAUAAUAACACAUGAAAGAUAACUAGCAUGACUUGAUGUCUAGACUUAGGCAUACCACAAAUGCAACAGUAAGCUAAACAAGAUAUGAUGCUAAGCAUGGAUGAUCAUGACACGAGAUACCAAAAUAUGCUACUAAUAAAAUGCAACGUGUAACUAUGAGAUAAUCUAGUUGAUAACAAGUGACCUAAAGAUCAAGCACGACGUUAGCAUACAACACUACCAUGCUAGUUAUGAUAAAUGAGAACAUGGAAGCAUACUAAGCACAUAGGAAAGUAUACAACUAGAUCAUCUCAUCAACCAAAUCAACAUGUGUUAUAGAAGCAUGAAUAACAAGAUGACAUGCAUUUCUAUGUAGUCAUCAUACACUUGCAAAUAUAUAAAAGGUACACAACUAAGCAUCAUACAACACACAGAUUGGUACACACACGCGUUAUGCAAUCAAGUUAUACAAUCGAUCAUCAUGACAUGGUAUUGAUAAGGCAAGAAAUUCCUAAAUAAAAGAAUGUAUGGUAUCAACAAAUCACUAUGAUAUAUCUACCAAGUAAACAUUAACCAAAUGUAUGAACAUAAGGUACAAACUACCAAUGAUAUAACACAUGGUAGGCAUACAACCAAAUAUGCCUUCUACUUGAGUAAAUAUUAAUAUGACAUGUCAAUCAACUAAGCAUGCAUAGCUACUAUCCUAGGUAAAUAUAACACGUUUGCUAAUUACCAAGAAACAAUAAACUGAACUCUAUGUCACAACGAAUAAAUUCUAUAUAGAAUGCAAAUAUAACAAUGACAUAAAGCAACUAUCCAUGCAAUACUAAACAAUAAACAUCUACAAAAUCGCGUUAACAAUUACUCAAAAGUUGCUACUAAAAUAACACAUAAAACAUGACAUGUCACACAACUUAGGAAAGUGAGAAAGUGAUCUUGAACCACGCAUGAUGCGAUAGAUAAUUAAAAUGAUAAUAGAGUGCCUACAACAAGUAAUUCAUCACAACCAUGGCUAUGUUCUAAGUUAACAUGCCAAUUCAAGACAACUACUAUAAAGAAACUAAACAACAAAAUAAUAGAUUGACAUGAUUUUGAAUAUAUAAAACACACAUGCUACAUGGAUGUAAAUGAAUAUAGAAAAUAUAUCUAAGAUAUAUUCAUGCUAAACAAAAGAAAUAAUCAAAACAUGAAAUAUUCCAUUAUUCGAUACAUAAAGCAAAGUUUAGAAUAAUUCCACAUAAAUAUAACCAUGUCGAGCGUUCACCAAAUAUUGUACGCUCGCAAACAAUAAGUAUCAAACAUAACCAAAAUAAUGAUAAUAAGAUUACACAAAUAAUGCUCCAAAUCUAAUUAAAAUAAUAACACGCGCCAAUCAUGUAUGAGGGAUGAUAACUAAUGUACCAAUCAACUCCUACACAAGGUAAUAACUCGAAGGAACUAAUAGAAAGGCAUAUCAUACUUUUAGAUGAUGCACAAAGUUAUCUACACGAAAUGCUACAAAAAAAAUAAAACGCACCUUCAAAUCAAUCGAGUAAACCAUUUGAUACUCCUAGGCAUAACGAGAGACAUAGAAAUAACAUACCAAUAGAAAAGUUUUACCAACACAAAACCUAUUUGGAUUCCAUACAAAAAAAAACGACUAAGAUUAUAUCUCUUCUACCGAUCACAAGAUAGAACCCACAAUCUAACCCCAUCACUGGAUUUCUACGGUCAUAUGGAGAAUUUUAUCUAUUAGGCUCAAAUUCAUAUGAUGAACAAAACUAAAGAAUUAUGCCUAUGCCAUCGAAUCGAUUUCGGUUUUGGACACACGCGGCCAACGACGGAGAUAGGUUGAAUCAUGAUGUCUACGGGAUACACUAGGUGAUGACAAGUACGCAUGCAAAAGGAAUUUGAUAGAGGCUCACCGAGUUUGAUGGAACAGUGCGACGAACUUGAUGAACAGUGUACGCGGACAUGCAGAAUUCUUCGUGUGUGCUUGACGGAUCGCGUUCCUUCUUCCCUGAAUGGAAUCAUGGUGUCGAGGGGAACCUUCUGGCGCAAGGGCAUGGAUGGGGAGGGCCUGCAUCAACGGGAUGGAGCAUUGGUGUCCAUGGUGCAUCAUUCUUUGGACAGAGUUUCUGGAGACAGAGAGGAAGGGAGAAGGCUGGGUGUCACGAGAAUUGGAAAAGGAGGUGGAGGCGCAUAGCAUGGUGCCUGCAGUUUUGGAAAGGAAUGAGAUUUAAGGGAAGUUAGAGGAGGGGCUGUUUCUCUUCUGUACGUUAGGUUUCUAGUCUCUGUAGAUUGUGAACGUACAGAGGAAGGAAAGAAGAGGAGGCGUGAGAGGAAUAGGAAGGGAGGAGGAAUUAAAGGAACGUGCAGAGUUUCUAUGUGUGCACGUAGGUGGCUGUUGAGAUUUCAUCUUCUGUGAGUUGUGAACGUACAAGGAGGAGAGGGGUUCGUUGGUUGGGAGAGAUGGGCCACUUCGGCCAGGCCCAUGGGGAAGAAAAAAUAUAGAGAAGGAGUGGUUGGGUAGGAAACAGAGAAAAACAAAAUAAAAACAAAAGAGAGAUAUGGGUUUGGCCCAAUUCGGUUGGGAGGAAAAAUGUAGGAUGCGCACACACGGAAGAGAGAAGAUGCUGGGUAGGAAUUCUGUACAGAGUAUGACAACAAGAAAAAGAAAAUCUAGAAAGAAAUUAAAAGCUCGAAUACAUAUCAAAUGAACUGAGAUAGCCAAGAAAGUGUAGACUCGCAUAUUUAAAUAUGCCGAAGACAAAUUUAAAAACCAGUUAAAACAAAAGAUCAAAACACAAAUUUAAUUUAAGUUGACAUUAGUUCAAAUUAAAUCCACUAACUUUAUGAAAACUCAAUUUAAGCUUUUAUUAACAAAUAAAACAAACGAAAUUUUCUCGUCCUGAUUUUUGGAAAACUUUUUCUUAAAUUUGGGCGCCUCAGACCAUAAGUUCUAUCAAUGUCCUUUCCUAAGAUUGGUACAUAUUCUCAUUGUAGUUCUCAUCAUUUACUUUGUCCAUUUUUCAGGUAGACAGGCAGAUGGUCUCUCUUGCAUUCCGCUUCUCGAGGGUAAAAACUCCAAAGGAAAGAGCUCAUGUAGACUUGGAAACCCACUAUACUAAGGUGAGGAACUGGGGAUGCACCCACUAUGCAGUCAUUUCCUGAAUAAUAGUAGUAAAAUCUGCAUAUUUUUUCCUUAUUUACCCGUCCUCUGUUCUUCAGCGUUCUCACAUGUGUUAGUUAAAUGCAGGAAUACCUUGAUGAGAAAUUUGAGUCCUGCACAAGGAGAGCAAUCCCCUACAGAGUGGUAUUCCUAUGCCAUGAAACUUUGUUUGUAAACAUCUAUUGCCUUCAUAGUUGGCUCUUUCCGUUCGAAUUUCAUUUGUAUCAUACAUUGUACUUUCAGGAAUAUGUGAAGAACAUAUCGUCUUCAGGGAUGCAGUCUAGUUGUGGCUUUGUAAGAAAUGGAUUUACACUUUAUCUGUUAGACAUAUGAGUGCCAUGUCCUGUGUUUCUCAGAUAUUUGUAGAACAAUCAGUUAACUCGUGAUAUCAAUGUCUUAGCCAAUCUCCCCCUUUCCGAUCUGUAAGUAAUCAACAUGUCAUUCAUUUAUGCUUUAUUAUUUAUAUACAUAUGCAUUAUCAUCUCAUAUCUCGCUUACCUGUUGGAAUAUUGCAAAUAACAGUUUCACCGGUUGGAUUCCUAGCGAGUCUCUUAAUUUUUUAACAUGCAAUUGUUAUAGAGCUAUAUCCUAAACUAUUAUUGUUCUUAUAUGUAGGACUGAUGGUAAUCCUUGGACUACGGAACAUGCUGUGCACUGGACAACCUGCUCCUCCUGCGCGUACCCCCUCUGGGAUAAGUCCACUUGCGUACGUACUCUGCUAAUUAAACUUCAUCAUCCUCCUCCUUCUACUGUAACUCAAUUAAUUGGAUAGAUGCCUACUUGCUGUUAUGCCAUUAGCAUGAUAAAAUGUGUUUCUUCCUGCCCUGCUUGCUGGGAGAAAUCUGGCUCGCGUAUGUUUCUUGUUGGCCGGUAGUGUUUGUAAACAGGCAUUAGCAUGAUAAAAUGUGUGGAGUAAUUUAGGAGUAAAAUAUGCAAGAUUAUGUUCAUGCCAUUAGCAUGAUUGGUUCAUGAUCAGUGCAAUUGGCAUUGACCAAUUGGUCUAGAAGUUAUCUGGUGGAGUAGAUGAACAAUCAUGAAUUUUUCUAGAGUAAUAAUCCUGACAGAUCAAUUUAUUUAGAGUACUGAAGCUAUCUUGUGAUCAUUAUUUAUGACAGAUCAAUAAUUCACUCGAGGAGUAUUGUGCCAAUGUGUAGGAAAACUAAUGUGCAGGAAAAGUUUUGUGUAUUGUGCUGUGUGUGGCUGCCAAUGCUUUUUUGACUGUGAUUGGUCACUUGUGCAUGUUGCACUUGAAUCAAAAUUUAGUUUGCACCCUGCCAUCAAAAUUCAGUUUGCACCAACCUGAAUCCAGUUUAGUCCAUGACCCUGUAGGUUCUUGCUUCUUUCCUCUUAGUUUUCUUUCCGGCAGAACAGAGCCUGCCAUGGUUGAUUAUAUUAUAAUCUUCCGAUUAAAGAACAUGGUGAUUUUUAUUGAUCCGCUGAUUAAAGAAUAGAGCAUGCCUCUCGUUGAAGACUGAUUCUAUUGAAUGAAAUCAUACGUUGAACUAUGAAUGUGUCACCUAGGAGUACUAAUGGGUGCACUGCCUCUAAUUUAUCUUUAGAAUACUCAGCUUCUCUCAACUAAUCUACUCAUGUAGGCAUGGGAGUAAUAAACAUGUUGCAGUUAUCUUUUUGUGUAAAUAAACACUGAUGGAAAUAAACAAUGCAGGAAGAUGCAUACUAGGCAGCUGAUGAUGAAGUGGCGCUGAGAAAUGGAGUUGCAUAAAAAAUAUUGCUGGGAUACUAUGCAGUACUCCUAGUAAUAAGUGAGGUUAGUUUCCUCUUGCACAACUAAAUAUGUUGAUGUAUGUCUAGCAAGAUAUGGAAAAUUACAGGAACCUUUGGUUAGUUUGCAAACACAAAAUCUUUGGUUAUUGGUCAGCCAAGCACACGUUGAACAACACACACGGCUAAAUCUAGGCAAGCAUGGUACACAAUUUCGACGUGAUUGUCAUGCGCAUACUCGGAGUUGUCCUGGCACAUGUGGUUCAAACACAACUGUAUAAUUUACCGAGCAGCCUCACUUCCUUCCAUUUGCAAACAUCUGCUUUUUUUUUCUUUUUCUGACAGAUAAACUGAUUAUGUACCAGGUCCAUUCUUUUCUCAAGGCCCAAAUUGCAAUGCAGGCAUCAUAAGCUUUCCAAGCUUUGAGACAAAGUUCAGGAAUGGAGCCUUGCCAAAUGCCAAGACAGAAUUAAAAUAAUGUCUCUGCAAAUACCCCCUCCAUCCGAAAAUACUUGUCAAGAGACUCCUGCAAGUAUUUCCGGACGGGAGGGAGUAUCUGGUUAUGUAUUUGGCAAAUUCUUUCUCAUGACCCAGAUUGCGAUGAAGGCAUCAUAAGUUGAUAAUUCAAAGCUUUGGUGACAGAGUUAGUGAGUUGAGGCAUAAAUGGAGCCUUGCCAGGUGCCAAGACACAGCUGAAAUAAUUUUCCUGUAUCUCCUGUCUUAAAUUAUGAGCACAUGCUACAAUAUUUUUACCAAAAUAAUUUUCCUGUAUCUCCUGUCUUAAAUUAUGAGCACAUGCCCAGGGCCGUCGGCAUAGGUCCUUUGCCGUCGGCAUAGACCUAUGCCUACGGCUGCCGUCGGCGUAGAUCACGUCAGCGUAGUCUUGUCAGACCGUUGGCAUAGUACAGCCGUCGGCAUAGGGCCUAUGCCGACGGCCGGGCGUCAGCCGUCGGCAUAGUUUAGCCGUCGGCAGUGUUUUUUGCCUGACGGCAACGGACGGCGCCGUCAAAAGCGCUAACGAUUCACGGAAUGCCACGUGGUAGAGGUAUGCCGACGGCUUGGCUGUCGGCAUACCUCUGCCACGUGGCACUCCCUGGUGCCUCCUGGUGGCAGGGCUAUGCCUACGGCAAAGCCGUAGCUGUGGCACGUGUCGUCCCCUGGUGCCUCCUGGCGGGAGAGCUUUGCCGUAGGCAUAGCCGUGCCACGUGUCGUCCCCUGGUGCCUCCUAGCGGCAGAGCUAUUCCUACGGCAUAUAUUUUUUUUGAAAUUUUUUUUGAUUUUUUUUUAUUUUCAAAUUUCUGAAUUAUUUUAACCUCUAAUCUCUAAUCACCACCCCUCAUCACUGCUCAGUUUAUCCUCUAAUCUCUAAUCACCCCUCAUCAUUCCAAAUCAUCUAACUUCCCGAACGGUCACCCAUUCUCCCACUCCCCUAGCCUGAGCACGCUUAACUUGCGGGUUCUAUUCUCCCUCGUUUCUAAGUCUACACUUGUUGUUUUCCUGACAAUAGUAAGACGUCAAUCCUAUUAACCCUCAGGAAUUUUGCUUGAGCAUGAAGUGACACAUUUCACUGUUUGAGUUUGAAACUAUUGUUUUAAAAAAGCAAUAAUUAUUUAGUAACACUAAUAUUUCUUGAAUAAUUAGUUUGACCACAGUUUGACCACUGUUUGACCACAGUUGACCAAAAUUCAAAAAAAUUGAAAUAUCAUUUAGUAACACUAUUCUAAAUAAUUAGUUUGACCAUUGUUUGACCACAGUUUGACCAGACUGCACCACAUUUUUUCCAAAUAUAAAAUUUGAAACUAUAUUUUUUUCUGUUACUAGUAAGUUUGAAUUUUUUUGCCUCUAGAUCUUGAAAGCCCCGUAACUUUUUUCUGUUAGGUUUUUGAGGAUUUUGAAAAUGUUUAACGUGGUUCCGUUGCCGCAGAACGUCUACUACUGUGUCAUCGCCGUCCGUGAGGGGGGCCACACCCCGGAGACGNNNNNNNNNNNNNNNNNNNNNNNNNNNNNNNNNNNNNNNNNNNNNNNNNNNNNNNNNNNNNNNNNNNNNNNNNNNNNNNNNNNNNNNNNNNNNNNNNNNNNNNNNNNNNNNNNNNNNNNNNNNNNNNNNNNNNNNNNNNNNNNNNNNNNNNNNNNNNNNNNNNNNNNNNNNNNNNNNNNNNNNNNNNNNNNNNNNNNNNNNNNNNNNNNNNNNNNNNNNNNNNNNNNNNNNNNNNNNNNNNNNNNNNNNNNNNNNNNNNNNNNNNNNNNNNNNNNNNNNNNNNNNNNNNNNNNNNNNNNNNNNNNNNNNNNNNNNNNNNNNNNNNNNNNNNNNNNNNNNNNNNNNNNNNNNNNNNNNNNNNNNNNNNNNNNNNUUUGACUUCCCACGGGCGGGCUUUGACCAGUGGACCUCUCCACCCGGUUGUGUCAGGUCAGCACAGAGGGACACCUGGGAGCAACAUCCGGGCCAAACCCACGGCUACAUCCCCUCCGUGUAGACCCGACGCGUCCGUUUCCCCCUCCAGGUCCCGGCGACGGCGCCGUCCGUGAGCUGGGAGGCCACGCCCCGGAGACGCGUGCCGGGCGUUUGCAACCGCCACAACACCUUCAGACUUGUGAGAAGCCGCGUACGCAAGAUUGGCGGCAUGCUAGCCCACGGAGGCCGCCGGCCACACUCGUAGACAUGCGAAGGGCAAUCCGGGUAGAGGGAAUUGUUCGGAUACUUCUCCAUCACCAAAAAUUAUGAAAAAUUACCAUCGUUCCAAUAGCACAUGUUCCCACGUCUUGUAAAAAAUUCAUGAUUUUAUCGCGAUCCGAAUAUUUAAUAAUAUCACGCCGCACCGUUACCGCAGAACGUCUACUACUGUGUCAUCGCCGUCCGUGAGGGGGGCCACACCCCGGAGACGCGUGCCGCCUCUUCGGACAUGCCACAACACCACCCCCAUGUAUGAGGGGUCGGUGCGACGCUCCGGUGGCAUUGCUACCCCCCAGGGCCCCCAUCCCGCCUAACCCUAGAGCGGUUGACCACGAGAUCUAGCCCUUUGACUUCCCACGGGCGGGCUUUGACCAGUGGACCUCUCCACCCGGUUGUGUCUAGUCAGCACAGAGGGACACCUGGGAGCAACAUCCGGGCCAAACCCACAGCUACAUCCCCUCCGUGUAGACCCGACGCGUCCGUUUCCCCCCUUCAGGUGCCGGCGACGGCGCCGUCCGUGAGCUGGGAGGCCACGCCCCGGAGACGCGUGCCGGGCUUUUGCAACCGCCACAACACCUUCGGACUUGUGAGAAGCCGCGUACGCAAGAUUAGCGGUAUGCUAGCCCACUGAGGCCGCCGGCCACAGUCGUAGACAUACGAAGGGCAAUCCGGGUAGAGGCAAUUGUUCGGAUACUUCUUCAUCACCAAAAAUUAUGAAAAUUACCAUCGUUCCUAUAGCACAUGUUCCCACGUCUUGUAAAAAACUCAUGAGUUUAUCGCAAUCUGAAUAUUUAAUAAUAUUCACGCCGCACCGUUACCGCAGAACGUCUACUACUGUGUCAUCGCCGUCCGUGAGGGGGGCCACACCCCGGAGACGCGUGCCGCCUCUUCGGACAUGCCACAACACCACCCCCCAUGUAUGAGGGCCGGUGCGACGNNNNNNNNNNNNNNNNNNNNNNNNNNNNNNNNNNNNNNNNNNNNNNNNNNNNNNNNNNNNNNNNNNNNNNNNNNNNNNNNNNNNNNNNNNNNNNNNNNNNNNNNNNNNNNNNNNNNNNNNNNNNNNNNNNNNNNNNNNNNNNNNNNNNNNNNNNNNNNNNNNNNNNNNNNNNNNNNNNNNNNNNNNNNNNNNNNNNNNNNNNNNNNNNNNNNNNNNNNNNNNNNNNNNNNNNNNNNNNNNNNNNNNNNNNNNNNNNNNNNNNNNNNNNNNNNNNNNNNNNNNNNNNNNNNNNNNNNNNNNNNNNNNNNNNNNNNNNNNNNNNNNNNNNNNNNNNNNNNNNNCCACCGUCCCGCCUAACCCUGGAGCGGUUGACCACGAGAUCUAGCCCUUUGACUUCCCACGGGCGGGCUUUGACCAGUGGACCUCUCCACCCGGUUGUGUCAGGUCAGCACAGAGGGACACCUGGGAGCAACAUCCGGGCCAAACCCACAGCUACACCCCCUCCGUGUAGACCCGACGCGUCCGUUUCCCCCUCCAGGUCCCGGCGACAGCGCCGUCCGUGAGCUGGGAGGCCACGCCCCGGAGACGCGUGCCGGGCGUUUGCAACCGCCACAACACCUUCAGACUUGUGAGAAGCCGCGUACGCAAGAUUGGCGGCAUGCUAGCCCACGGAGGCCGCCGGCCACACUCAUAGACAUGCCAAGGGCAAUCCGGGUAGAGGGAAUUGUUCGGAUACUUCUCCAUCACCAAAAAUUAUGAAAAAUUACCAUCGUUCCAAUAGCACAUGUUCCCACGUCUUGUAAAAAAUUCAUGAUUUUAUCGCGAUCCGAAUAUUUAAUAAUAUCACGCCGCACCGUUACCGCAGAACGUCUACUACUGUGUCAUCGCCGUCCGUGAGGGGGGCCACACCCCGGAGACGCGUGCCGCCUCUUCGGACAUGCCACAACACCACCCCCCAUGUAUGAGGGGUCGGUGCGACGCUCCGGUGGCAUUGCUACCCCCCCCCAGGGCCCCCGUCCCGCCUAACCCUAGAGCGGUUGACCACGAGAUCUAGCCCUUUGACUUCCCACGGGUGGGCUUUGACCAGUGGACCUCUCCACCCGGUUGUGUCUAGUCAGCACAGAGGGACACCUGGGAGCAACAUCCGGGCCAAACCCACAGCUACAUCCCCUCCGUGUAGACCCGACGCGUCCGUUUCCCCCCUUCAGGUGCCGGCGACGGCGCCGUCCGUGAGCUGGGAGGCCACGCCCCGGAGACGCGUGCCGGGCGUUUGCAACCGCCACAACACCUUCAGACUUGUGAGAAGCCGCGUACGCAAGAUUGGCGGCAUGCUAGCCCACGGAGGCCGCCGGCCACAGUCGUAGACAUGCGAAGGGCAAUCCGGGUAGAGGGAAUUGUUCGGAUACUUCUCCAUCACCAAAAAUUAUGAAAAAUUACCAUCGUUCCUAUAGCACACGUUCCCACGUCUUGUAAAAAACUCAUGAUUUUAUCGCGAUCCGAAUAUUUAAUAAUAUUCACACCGCAUCGUUACCGCAGAACGUCUACUACUGUGUCAUCGCCAUCCGUGAGGGGGGCCACACCCCGGAGACGCGUGCCGCCUCUUCGGACAUGCCAAAACACCACCCCCCAUGUAUGAGGGGCCGGUGUGACGCUCCGGUGGCAUUGCUUCCCCCCAGGGCCCCCGUCCCGCCUAACCCUGGAGCGGUUGACCACGAGAUCUAGCCCUUUGACUUCCCACGGGCAGGCUUUGACCAAUGGACCUCUCCACCCGGUUGUGUCAGGUCAGCAGAGAGGGACACCUGGGAGCAACAUCCGGGCCAAACCGACAGCUACAUCCCCUCCGUGUAGACCCGAUGCGUCUGUUUCCCCCCUCCAGGUGCCGGCGGCGCCGCCGUCCGUUAGGGGGGCCACGCCCCGGAGAUGCGUGCCGCCUCUUCGGACAUGCCACAACACCACCCGGUUGUGGUAGGUCAUCCCAUAGAAACACUUGGGAGCAACGUCCCCUCCGUAUAGACCCGAUGCGGCUGUUUCCGCCCUCAAGAUGCCGGUGGCGGCGCCAUCCGUGAGGGGGGCACACCGCGGACGUGAGGGGGUCACACUCCGGAGACGGGUGCCGGGCGUUUGCAACCGCCACAAAACUUCUGUCGGCAUAGCUGUUUUUUAUUUUAAUAAAAUAUAAGGACCUAUAUUCAAAAGAACAUGACGGCACAUUAUUAAUGUGCUCGAAAAAAAUACAAACUAUAUAUAUAUAUAUUCAUAAUCUAUGGAAAAAAAUUACAAGCUACAUAUAUAUUCAUAUAAUACAUAAAAAAAGCAUAAAAACAUAUGUAAAAAAAGCAGAAAAACAAAUGUAAAAAAACACAUAUAAAACAAAUAACUAUGCCGACGGCAGGGUUUAGGUGGGCGCCGUGCCGCGGAUCGGUGACGUGGCGCCUAUGCCGACAGCUGCCGUCGGCAUAUCUGGCCGCGGAUCGAUGACGUGGCGUGCGGAGAUAUGCUGACGGCCGCCCGUCCCGACCGUCGGCAUAGGUUUGACGCGUUAGCCGCUGGUCAUGGGCGAGGUCGCCUGCCGUCGGCGUAGAUCGGGGUAGCCCGACGGCUGCCGUCGGCAUAGGACCGUUUUCCGGUAGUGAUUGUAACUCCUCGUCAUCCGCCCGUCACCAGACGACGCACUAGGCCGUCUAUACGUGACUAGCAAUCAGAGAAGUCGUAAGCAAUGAUCAUCCUCGGCUUGACAAAGCUAAGUUGGUCACCUUUUUAGAUUGUCCAAAAUCUUUCUCGCGUUUCGAUGUGGGACUGACUUUUACGUGUAGGGUGCGGUAUUCUUCUGUCCGCCUGUCUACCAAGGAAGACGCGUGGGCCUUACUAGCUGUUGUGGGCCGCAACUGGAAGAGGCCGAAGCCCCCGCGUGGGCCUCCUAUCUGUCGUGGGUCGCGACCGGGAAUAGACGUAUGUCUUUUGUCUAAAAAAAAAGGCGUAUGUAUUUUUGGCAUUUCGCUCAAUUUUUUUUACUUUGGCACUUAUAGUAGAUUAAAAAAACUUUGGCACUUAUUAUUUGUCCGCUGGCAGGCUGGGCUCGCGUCCAAUGACCAAGCUACCCCCCCUUCUAGAUGUUCUACCUGGAUCGAGUCUAGCUGCCCCGUUCGUAGGCGUAGGAGAGGACUUUGGCGACGAGCUGGAAGGCCACUUUCACGGAGGCGACUGGGACGGCUUGGGUGACUGCACAACGGAGGUGUUAGGGCAAUUCCAACCGGCCAACAGACGCAAACCGAUGCGGUUUUUGUUUGUUUUUUGUCUAUUUGGGUUGGCCGAACGGACGCGUGUGUCUGGUUUUACAUUUAGGGGCGUUGGUGCGUCCAGCGCGGCCGACGCAUUAGCCCAUGCAGUCUUAGAAAAACUAAAUAGGCAUAUAAAAACUUUAAAUUUAAAACAUGCAUAUAUUAAUAAAACAUAAUUAAACAUUAAAAACGUUGGUCAAAGUCCACUUAAAGACAUUGAACAUAAUAAUAAAAAACGAGGGCUCCCAAGUGCCACUGCCCUACCCUACGCGUCGUUCUUAGAGCUGGGGUGGAUGAGGUCGAAGAACGCCGGCAGCGCAGCCCAAGGGAAGGCGUCCUUGUAUGCCGCCAGCGGGGCCUCCUCCAGCAUCUGUGGCGGCGGCGCUGUCUGACGCUGCGCGCGCCUCCUCCUUCUGCUCCCUCCGCUCCUCCUCGUGCGCCCAGCAUUGUUGGCACUCCUCCUGCUCGCGCUCCGGCCGCAUCUGUCGCUCGGCAUCGGCCUGUUCCUCCGCCAACCAGUGGGCCUUCCAGAUGUCGAGGUGUUGCGCCUCCUCCUCCGACGUCGUGUGCAUCCACACGGCCAGCGUGCUGAGCCACUCCCGCACGACGCACGGUCCACUGAUACGUCUCAAGGACGCCAUCGGGUGCCGGCGCGGGUGAUGAUGGUGACGGCGGGUAGAUGCUGUCGAUGAUCGUCGACAACUAGAGCGCCUCCUCGAGGCUAGGCCAAGCGGACGUCCUCGCGAUGUGACUCCUCGAUAGCGCGCUAGACCGGUGCCUCCAGCGUGGUCUGGUACUCCGCCUCCGGCUCCAAGUCCUCCUCCUUCACCACCGGCGGCGGUAGUGCAGGGCGGGCCUCAACCUAGACGGCACCGUGGCGGCGCAUGACGUGCUUUGUCAUGAACCAGACGUCCCAGUUGGGACCGUCUGCCACAUACGUCACGUGGCGGCGCUGCUCCGGCGUGAGGAGAGCAUGCCGCCUGCGGAUCUCCUCCGCCAUCGCCUGCUCAGACUGUGGCACUGCUGGCAUCAGAAUGCGAUGGGGGUCGAGCUGCCAGCUGGAGGGGAGGUUGACGUCCGACCAGGACAGUGGGACGUUGUACUCCUAUUGAUAUUGUGGCCCGUCACCGCGAUGUACAGCCGGUCACCAGCGUCCACCUCAUCGGACCGCCAUGACCCACAAGUAUAGGGGAUCAACCAUAGUCCUUUCGAUAAGUAAGAGUGUCGAACCCAACGAGGAGCAGAAUGAAUUGAUAUGCGGUUUUCAGUAAGGUAUUCUCUGCAAGUGUUGUAAGAAAGUUUCGGUAGCAAUAUAAUUGUUAACAAGUAACAAAAGAAGCAAGGUGCAUCAAGUGGUCUAAUCCUUAAUUAUUCUAUGGACAAGUCGAUGAUACUUCUUAUAGUGAUUAAAACGCUCUUGAGACACGGGAAUAUCGCCUAAGUUAUUUUCACCACGAUACAUUGGCUUCAUGUUCAUUGCGUUGAUAAGUGAGUGUCAUGUGGGUGGACCGGAGCUAAGGUACUAUUCUUACUUGAACAAACACCUACUUAUUAUUAUACCUUCCAUGCAAGCAUCCACAAAUACAAGAGAAGUAAUGAAGAUAAAUCUAACAAUAGCAUUAAACACGUGGACCCAAAAUAGCCUCUCACGAAACAAUUCAUAAAUUGAGGUUUAGGUUUCUAUCACUCCCGCAACCCAUCAUGUAGAAACUAAUUUCACGAUGCCUUCCCAUAUGGCCAAAGAUGGUGAAGUUUUAUGGAGUCGACAUUCACAUAACAACACUGGAGGAAGAACGACACAACAUAAUAUUGAAACAUUAAAUGGUGAUCAACUUCACAUGAUUAAUAACAAGACUUCUCUCAUGUCCUAAAGAACAAAUGAAACUACUCACAACUCAUCUUAUAACCAGCGUUUCCAGCCCACAUGCGUCAACCAGGCCCAACCGGAGAGCAACACCNNNNNNNNNNNNNNNNNNNNNNNNNNNNNNNNNNNNNNNNNNNNNNNNNNNNNNNNNNNNNNNNNNNNNNNNNNNNNNNNNNNNNNNNNNNNNNNNNNNNNNNNNNNNNNNNNNNNNNNNNNNNNNNNNNNNNNNNNNNNNNNNNNNNNNNNNNNNNNNNNNNNNNNNNNNNNNNNNNNNNNNNNNNNNNNNNNNNNNNNNNNNNNNNNNNNNNNNNNNNNNNNNNNNNNNNNNNNNNNNNNNNNNNNNNNNNNNNNNNNNNNNNNNNNNNNNNNNNNNNNNNNNNNNNNNNNNNNNNNNNNNNNNNNNNNNNNNNNNNNNNNNNNNNNNNNNNNNNNNNNNNNNNNNNNNNNNNNNNNNNNNNNNNNNNNNNNNNNNNNNNNNNNNNNNNNNNNNNNNNNNNNNNNNNNNNNNNNNNNNNNNNNNNNNNNNNNNNNNNNNNNNNNNNNNNNNNNNNNNNNNNNNNNNNNNNNNNNNNNNNGAUGUGUGACUAAACCCAACAUACAAUAUAUUUCUUUUUUAUUUUGCUCUUCCUAAGUCGGUACAUAGUUGAUAUUUAUUAUUUUGUAAAUAAGUAAUGCUAUGAUGUUUGUUCAAAGCCAAGAUUACUGCCCAAGAUGUUAAAUAGAUUGCAAGAUUGAUACAUGCAAGAUGACUUAGACCCUAUUUUGCUGGCUUAUGGCUUCAGCCAAAAGUGGGUGAGCAAUUUAUUUCAAAGCUUAUAUCCUCCAAAUUGAAACAACGAAAUGUUUCCUCACUGCCAUCCGUCUGUGGUAAUCAUGCACCUCAUCUUCUGCUCUUGAUUGGCCACAUGGAUGUACAGUCCUACAGCUCGAGCUCAGGUUCACAUAUACCUUAAUUUGGUUCCUAUUCCAUCUCUGUUAAUUCACAUGUAGUUUAUGGGACAUACUUUCUUCAAAAGAAUAUUUCAUCUUCUGUCACUAUAAUGGUCUAUUUUCAUAAGAUGGCAGAUAAUUAUCUGCCUGAAACGUUCACAAUAACCAUGAAACUUUCAUUGUUUAUGUGUUGUUUUUUAGCCACUUGCAACCGCAUGGGUUUAUGACUAGUUAAUACUAAUAACAUAACCUCCAGAAUCUACAUGAUUUGGAGUUGUGUUCAAGUGUGACACAUAGCCAUGCAGUUGAUUGACUAUCUUGUCUUUGCUUGCACUGCAAAUGGUGAACCGAUGAUUAGCAAUUUGCUGCGAACUGAAGUGACAUGCUAGCCGUGGUAGACAACUCUUUGUUUCCACAUUAUUUUUGUUGUCGUUGUCUUGCUUGAUAGUGGAUUUUAGGUUGUUUGCACUCAGUUGGUCAGUACCAGACUUGAUCAAGCUCUCUCUCUCUCUCUAUCUAUCUAUCUCCCUCUCUCUCUCUCUCCCCCUCUCUCCCUCUCCCUCUCUCUCUCUCUCUCUCUCUCCGCACAAUAUUCUGAAAUACUGAAUUGAUUUUGCAUGUAAGGAAAUCAGCAUGGAACAAUCCAAUGAAUCUUCUAUAUAGUCGUCAGUAAUAGAAGACACAUGGAAUCUUAUGAAAGGCAUGUGAGUCUAUGACUCAACAAAAUAUGGUUAGGUGUAGAAGAAAUAAUGGUUUAAAUGCGGGUCGGAUCGAUCUUUAUUGACUUUAUAGGUUAUUUAGUUUUCACAAUUUUCUUGGUAACCAUUAGAUGCGGAUCUCAUAUAAUUAAUGUCACACAACGACUUGAGCAAUAUGUGGACCUAGUGUUCCUGAAUAUACAGUAAAAGCUAACCAAAACAAAGCGACAUAUUCGAGAAUCGCAUAGCCUCGAGACCAUGUAUAAUCUGAUAAAUACAGUGAAUCGGGCAAAACGUCUUCACAUCAACGUGCUAACAUGCUCGCGCAGUUCCUAGCUUCCCAAGGCUUCUAUUUCAUCCCACUCUCUAAUGGCAACCACCAUAUACACCACGCUUCCAGACGGGUUGCCUGGGGACUGGAAGGCACCGGGAAUUAUUUUGGGGCCAUAGCAGUCCAUUGAACGAGCAAAAGGAGGUGGAAAUAGUCGCACCACCACCACUACCCUUGCCGAAGGGUGUCCGCCAAGAGGAGACCGGCGUGAGAAGCCAAAUGGCCAUAUCGCCCAUCCCUCCUCCAAUGUCACACCGGUACGAGUACGGGAGAAGGAGGUUGGCCCUCAUCAGAUCCACCUAACAACUGCCCGCCAGAGACAUGAUGUGAGCCAGACGCUCCCGACGAGCAAGACGCAAAAGGCAUUAUGCAGCCGGCCGACUAGAUCCCGGCCACCAGUUGUUGCCGGCCAGUGUAGGGCCAAAUAUGUCGCCAGUGCUACAUUACCCCUACAGUCAUAGCACCACGGUUGCCGCAUUGCCAUUCGGGCUCCGCCGGAGCGCGCACUGUUUAGGGCUGCCGCUGUGCUCGAGCUGAAGGGCUCUCAGCAACGCGGGGAUAAGAGCCCGCCGCAGCCGUUAGGGAGAGAGACUUCGCUUGCAAGCUUCCUUCAGUAACGACGAGGUAGGCGGGAGGAGAUGAGGCCGGAGCGGCCCGAGCCGCCAGUUUUUUUUUUUCUGGCAGUACGUGUCUCAUUCAUUGUUUGUUUGGAGGAGCGGUAAUUUUUUUAUUUUUUUUUGCGGGUGAUGAGCGGUAACGUUAACGUAAAGGGAAUCAAGUUACAGGGUGUAACAGCUCCGUAUUGAGAAAAUCAAAUCUUAUUUGGUUCAGUUGCGUAAUGGAAAUGGGUACCUUGCAGCGAACUGUUCGGCGACGAGGGCGAGUUGGGGAGGCAGCAAACGGGGGUGAUGACCAGGGACGACAGUGAUGGAUACCAGGCGAUGGGGCCACGACCAAAGAGGAGGAGAAGGCGCACGUCCGGGCGGUUACUAGACGACCAUCGGAGACGGGCAGAGGUGGAUCGACCAUGGUGGCACUGGCUUCUUUUGGGAACGAUGAGAUGCAGGUCGUGCCCGGCGGCUGGCAUGGCGCGGACGCGGUGGCCCUGCACGAGGAAGAAAGGAUCAAGGGGAGGGAGGGGAGGUUUCAAAGGGGAUCGGGGAGGCGCCGGAGCUGGACUCGAAGAGGAUCAGGACAACGGCGGCAUUGGUCGAGGGGGAGGGGAUCGUGCGGUAACGCGGUUUAGGGGGGGAGCCUGGAACCGUUUACUGAGGCAUCGGAUUACAGCAUACACGUACCAAAUGUGUGUAACGGUUUUGGUUUCCACCGUAAACAGGUAACGGAGCUUUUUGCCGGAAACAAACACCUCAGACAAGCCACGUACAUUGGCAUGACAAAACUGAAAUAACAGCUUUAAUCUUUGCAGACCACCAGCCAAGAAGUAAAAAUACAAUCGAGGCCGAAAAAUCCCCUGAGCUUGACGGUAACGCCCAUGACGUGUCUCCGGCACCAACCUAGCAACCACCAAAGAAAAAUAUGACAGAGUCUGAGGGCGAAUUCCAAUACUAUAUUGGGCUCCAUCACCAACUCCUCAUCAGCGUGUUCAUAUACUACACUAUUUCCUGUAUGAAAAAUGAGGUGGUGCUUACACUUUGAGGCUCUAGACAUGCAUGGCUUGGAGUUGUGUUCAGGGGUGCCACAAAGAAGGUGAGUGGCUAUCUGGUGACCCCCUGGUUAGCGUUUUACUGAUGUGGAAUUCAAUUAUUAAAGUGUCAUGCUAACCGUGGCAGGCAACUACAUGUUUCCACUUUAUUUUGUUGUUGCCCUGCUUCACAGUGGAUCUCAGGACAGCAAAUGUGUCGACCUGUUUCAGAAAGAGUUAAAUACACCUAUAGUACAUAAACUUGCGUGGUGGGUACAAAAUCAUACAUAAAGUUGAAAAAUGAUGCAAAUGGGUCACUGAACUAUAAUUUCAGGUACAUUUUGCUACAUCUUCUGUUAAAUCUAACGGUAAUUGCAAGGCUUGCCGUUAACUCGCAGGCCAGCAUGGUAGUGGGUAUAUGUAUACGCUGGGUCCACUUGUUAGAUGACUAAAGAAGGAGAAGCAAAUAUGUAGACGUAGGAUUUGACCUUCGGACGUGAGAUGUUUCAAGCACAGGGCUAAGGGCAUUUCCAACGCUGACGCAAACCUCCCGCAACGAUCCAAAUCACGGAAGCCAUCCAAUGUUGGUCUGUAUCGGUCCGCGGCACGGUUCAGACGUGAUUUCUCCCGCAAACCGAAGAUAAAAUUGAGGGAGGUUUGCGGGAGUCCAGACCGAUCCCAAGCCCGUUUCUGACCGCCCUGACCCNNNNNNNNNNNNNNNNNNNNNNNNNNNNNNNNNNNNNNNNNNNNNNNNNNNNNNNNNNNNNNNNNNNNNNNNNNNNNNNNNNNNNNNNNNNNNNNNNNNNNNNNNNNNNNNNNNNNNNNNNNNNNNNNNNNNNNNNNNNNNNNNNNNNNNNNNNNNNNNNNNNNNNNNNNNNNNNNNNNNNNNNNNNNNNNNNNNNNNNNNNNNNNNNNNNNNNNNNNNNNNNNNNNNNNNNNNNNNNNNNNNNNUCAGCACCCGCGUACAUGCCCGGUCAGAACGGAUGUGACUGCUCACUGGGGCCGGCAUUGAAGCAGCGCGCCGGCCGAGAGAGCACCACCCGCGUCGCUUCCCAGUGCAGGUGAUUGCCGCGCGUUCAAACGACACGACGGCCGCCCGCCCACCCGUCCAUCCCUCUGCCGCCCACCGGCGCUAUAUAAAACCGCUGCCCCGGCCAUAUCCACAGUCAUCUUUCUCCACACCACUCCCCGCCAUGGAUCCCUCUGCGGCCAAAGCUCUCUGAGACGGGCUUACGUCAGAGCAGAAGAAGGCCAUGCCCGCCAUUGCUGCCGAUUGGCAGGCCGGCAGGCAGCCGGAGGACGUGCAAAUGGAGGACACCUCUGACAACGAGCCAAGGCCACCCUCCUCUUCCUUCGCGCCACCCUCCUCUUCCGCUCCACCCUCGCCAGUGCAUUGCACCAUGAUUAUCGGCGAGGCCUGUGCCCAUUAUAUGGACAUGGUGCGGCAGGAGCAGUCCCGGGAGGCGCAGGCCGAGGCCAACUACAACCACAACCUCCUUCAGGAGCAUCUGCACGCGGAGGACCAGGUCGCCGCCGGCAGGCAGGUCGUGCCGGACGUGGACUUGGUGGAGCAGGAGGCACUGCUCGAGUCUUAUACGAAGAAGGAUACCUGGUCGAUCUUUUUUGCAAUUGAAUGAACUCAAUAUCUCACGUACAAGCAUGUGGUUUCUCAAUCAGGCUAGUGGACUGAUAUUGCAGCUCGACACGUUAAAGCUAGCUAGCUUUGUAGACCGGUGAGAUUGUAUUGCCAACGGGCAGCAUACCGAAUACACAGGCCGGUGAUUCAACCUCUCCGCCGGCGGUGAAGGUCAAGGCCGCACGUAUGAUACCCUCGUCAACUUUGCUUUACGAGAAGUCCAACCUCUCCGCCGUCGUCACCAGCACAUAUCUAGUCAGCUGACAGGUGGACCCGCAUAUACGUAUACACAGAACAUAGUGGGCUGCAAGUUACUGUCACACCGUUCGAUUUAACAGCAAAUGUACCAAAAUGUACCUGAAAUUAUAGUUUAGUGGCCUAUUUGUAUCAUUUUUCAAGUUUAUGUAUGAAUCUGUACCCACCGCACAAGUUCAUGUACUAUAAGUGUAAUUAACUCUUUCAGAAAUAACCAACUAGUUUGGCCCUUUGCUUCACUCAGGCUCUUUGAAGUUUAAAAUCAGUAGGCCAGUACCCUGACUUUCUCAAUCUUGUAUGAAAUCACUGAACUGACUUUCACAUAUAGGGCGACACCAGCAUGAAGCAAUCCAACUGAUUCGAAAUGGAUGGACUUCAUUGAUCACGGCUCUGUGUUGUAAUCUGGAGUUCUGGACCCCAAAACAAAAAAGAUGGUGACACAAUGCCUAAAAGUGCUGCUUAUUUCUUCAGGGUGAUGUUCACUUUGGAACUACUUACUCAGACCUCACCUCACUUUUACCAUGCCCUCUCUCUCCUAGAGUUACUCCAAAGAUGAAAUUCUUUCCCGUUUCUUUUGCCACACAGCAUUGUGCCCAAAAAAUUUUACUCCCUGAGAGGGAAUCUACGUAGUACUUGAUGGAGAGCAGCAUCCCCAGGUUCAAAAAGAGAACACGAGAAAAGAUAAAGAUAGGGAGCAAGUACAGCCUUACAAAAAAAAUACUUUUUGAUGAGUUCUCCAAAAAAAAUUGAAAAUUCAUAAAUCUACAAUAUGCUAUAGUACAGGUUGCACCAAUACAUUUUGUGAUUCUCAAAAAAUAUGAAAAUUCAUAAUGUACAAUGUGCUAUAGUACGAGCAUUUUACAAAAAACACACUUGAAAGGCGUGAAAAUUUGUAAAUCGCUCAUACAAAUAGAGACAGUUUAAAACAUCUCAAAUGCCUAAAUACAAAACAAUUAUUUUGAAAUUAUUAAUGGAAAAUAUAUGUCGAGAUGUUUUACGUUGUAUCUAAUGACUGUCUCUACUAACUAGACAUGAUUGCAGCUAAAGUCUCUUCAUCAUUGAGACGGGGGGUAUUACAACAGCGGGUCAGAGGUUGGUGCUAAAGUCAUCUUUACCCUAUGUAGAUGUAGGUAAAAUCGUGUCUACGAGACAAUAAAUCCAUUUCCCCAUGCUGAUUUUGCUAUGGUGAUGCAAAAACUAUUUACACUUGUGGUAUGAAGUUUUUGCUGAAUUAAGUGAUAUCUGAUCUCUAAAGUAAUAAAAGCCAAUAUGAGCCAUUUAGCCUUAUGGUUCGACGAUGUACAAGUGAAUUUACCCAAAAUUAAAUUCUAGAUCACUUUGGAAUAUUUCGAGCGAUGUUCUAGGCACUACGUAAUGUUGAUGUGCAUGUAGUAAUGUGGCACACUGAUACACUAUAAUAUGACAGAUAAAGAUGUUGCUCCGAACUUGUACCUCAGCGACCAAAACUGGGACUAUCAAUUAAGCGAGUAAGUAAUGUCUUGAAGCCACCCAGAAGCAAGGCAAUGAAUAAACUGCAUUCGUAUGAACUGCAUGCAUGUUUGCACCAAACAUAUAUAGUCGUCCAUAAAUAACAAUCAUGACCAACGAUUGAACAAAUGCAUUGAAACUAGUUAACGAGGGGAUCAAUGAGCCAUGUGUGUAUCGACACCGGCAAAUAUCAGCUGCUCAGAUGAAUAGGGGAGAGGAACCAUCGAGCCCUCAGGCACACUACAUCCUAGCUAAUUCAACGAGGAUUGAUAGCAGGCCAGUAUUAGAUCACCUAGAGGUGGCAUGGAAACCGGCUGGUGAACCACAUGGGAUUAGGAGGUAUUAGGAAUUACGUUCAGCCAUUCCAUAAACUUUGCUAAACAAAAGCACUGAGUGAAACACACAACGGUUUCAAACCAUUGGUUGUGAGUGCAUCCUUUCGGAGCCUGUAGUCUUCCUUUCAGAGCCCAAAGGAAUGUCUCUCGUCAGGUCUCGUACCCCUGCUUCUUCCUUACCGGCUCCAGCGAUUCGCGCCUAUGCAGCCCGUGCAAAUCAGCGACUCGUGGCCCCGGGUGGUGGCGGGAGUGCCGCGGGAUAAUCCUGCGGAGAUAUUGACGAUCGUUGCAGUUGGGCUGCGCUCUAUUUCCCUAGAGAGAAAUAGCAGUCUUUGAUCGUGUCGCCUCCAGAGCGGAGAAUGUAGUGUGACGGGCUAAAGAUGAAUUGAUCUCUGGAAGCAGGAUAGAAGCGGCGGGCAACACCGCGAGUAAUUCACCCCCAAGUCUUUUGUUUGGUGGGCCCGUCUUCUGCCCAAGUAAUUUGUUCUUGAGGCAAGCACAUUGUAACAAAUUCUUCUCCUUAAUACAAAGAUGCGCAAAUCUCAUGCGUGAUCUGGAAAAAAGAGCCCCUAGCAUAGGGUACCUUUAUUCAGCUAGCGCCGGUAGAUGGUGACAUCCCACAAACGGCUACUGCUAUUUUGGCGUGCGACUUUCGAAUGAUCCGUCAUCAGGAUGUUGAUCGAAACACAACUUCAUGCCCGGAGUGAAAAUUCUUGCCCUGGCCUUUAUUGCUCGGGCUCAACAACGACGAACUUGUGUUGCUACCAUGAAGGCGUUGUCUAGUUGUUGUUGCACUGGUCUUCAUUGGCUGGUCUCGGCAACCACGGUGAAAAUCCUUGUCCAUGCCAUUCCGGCCUGACGUGAUGACGAUGGCGCGAGGUCGUUUAUCUUUUGUUGAAGGCGUUGCUGCAGAAGAACUUGACUUAGUCAUAGGUUUUAGUUUCAUAUCUUGUAAAGGUUCGGCGGUGUUUGUCUUUGUCUUGUACUCUGCUUAAUAAUUUAUAAAAAUAGUUGUGUGCAUCACAUUGAUGUAGAGGUCGGGGGUCUCAACAUCCUUUUUGAAAAGAGAUGGAUGUCCGGCAAUCUCAAGGAGGGAAUAAAUUUCUGGGAAAGGGUAGGAUAGGCAACAAAGUGGGAUCUAAUGGACGAAAUGUUUUCUUUAGAGAGAAAAGACGAACCGUUGCCGCAUGCCUCAUUUACGGGAUCCUAUAGGUCGCUUAUAGCGAAAUCACUAGUUAAGGGUUAACCCUUGAAAAGGUCACUCCCCGUCUUCUCAGGGGCUGACAAGUGACGCACUGUAUGUACGUCACUUGCCGCAACAUGUGAGUUUUCUUUUUUUUGGUAGAUUCAUUUAUUUAGAACAUUUUAUCACUUGAAUCGUGCAUCCAAAUACCAAACAGUUCUCAGCGUUGGAUUUCUUGCGUCAAGAUUUUCGAAACUAGAUCCCAUGUUAGUAGGUUUUGACGCAAAAAAAAAUUCACGAAAAAAAUGGAAAAGCUGGAAACCAAAAAAAAGAAUAUCAAAAAAAGGAAGAAAAAAAAUCGGUGUCCAAAAGCACAAUUGUGGGUUUUCACUUUUUUCUCUAUUUUGAGAAGCACAUCUAUGCUUCUUAUGGAAGCAAAUUUGCGCUUCCAUGAGAAGCAAAUUUAUACUUCUCAUGAAAGCAUAAUUGUUUUUCCCUUUUCAAGAAGCACAAUUAUGCUUUGCAAAAAAAAUCUCCAAAACCUAGGGAAAACCAUGUGAAAAUCAAAAAGCAAAAGAAAAAACCAUCAAAAUCCCCAAAACGCACACACAAAAAUAAACAAAAUCCAGAUGGAGCGCCUAGCACGCGACAUGUGGUGGUGCUUGGACGCACCACUUGACGCGCUCUUAGGCCCAAAAAAUGACCCUUGCGGGAGGCCCCAAGGGUAACCGUUGGUUAGUUACUCCCCGCUUAUAGCGAGCUGUAGGUCGCGAUCGCCUGAAGAGAGCUAGUAAUGGGUCGGCCUAGUUAGUUCUUCGUUGCAUCCGUUCGUUCGCUACGGCUGUUCGUCGUUUGUUCUUUUUUAAUAUUUUGUUUUAUAACUUUUAUUUAUAUUUUUGAAAUUAAAAUAACAUAUUUACUUCAGAAAAUAAAAUCAAGAAUUUGGAAAAAUGUUAAUGCAAUAUAAUUUUUAGUUCUUUCGCGAGAUAAUCUUUUGUUAGCAUAACUUUUAAAAAGAAUGUUGCGUUUCAAAAACAUGUAAAUGAAAUUAAAAACUAGUUAUACAAUGUACAAAAAUGUUUGUGUAAAUAAAAAGAAUGAUAAAUGUAUGUAAGAAAUGUUUCGGGUGUGUAAGAAAAAUGUACGAUGCGUACGGAAAAAGUAGACAUUAAAACAUAUAUUUGGAAAAAAAUAUUAACCAUGUAUAUGUGAAAAUUGUUAAACAUAUAUAGAAAAUAUUUUUAAUGUAUACUUUGUAUGAAAACAAUAGACACAAAAAAUAUUCGAAAACCAAUGUUAAUGAUAUAUUAAAAAUGUUAAAUGUGUAUAGAAAAGUGUUUCAAGUGCAUACAAAAAAUGUACAAUGUGUAUGAAAACAAUGGACAUCAAAACAUAUAUUUGAAGAACAAAAAAUGUUAAUGACGUAUCAAAAUGAGGACUGAAAAGUGUGAUAAUUUGUGAAUCGCUCAAAAGCUUACAAAUCUAGAGACGGUUUAAGAUGCCUCAACUGCCUAAAUAAAGAACUAUUGUUUUGAAAUUAUAAAUGGAAAAUAUAUGUCCAGACGCUUUACGUUGUAUCUAAUGAUUGUCUCUACGUGCUAACUAGACAUGGUUGCAGCUAAAAUCUCUUAAUCAUUGAGACGGGGGUUACAACAGCGAGUUCGAGAUUGGUGCUAUUGUCAUCUUUACCCUAUGUACGUAUAGGUACAAUUGUGUCUACGAGACAAUAAAUCCGUUUCCACAUGCUGAUUUUACUAUAGUGGUGUAAAAACUCUUUACACCUGUGGUAUAAAGUUUUUGCUCAAUUAAGUGAUAUAUGAUAUAUAGUGUAAUAAAACCCAAUGCGUGUCAUUUAGCCAUAGAGCAAGUACAACAGUGGGCUAUAAUCCUACUUACAUGAUUUUUUUUUCUAUAUGGAGGAGAGAGACAAGCAAAAAAAAUCUAUAUCACUAUGGAAUAUUUCUAGUGAUGUCCUAGGCACCAUCAUAAUAUUGAUGUGCAUAUGUAGCAACUUUGGACACAGAUACACUAUACUCCCUCCCUUCCAAUUUAUAGGGCUCAAUUGAGAAAUCUCACUGACCAACGUAGAAGGUGAGUGUUACAAUUAUUUUUUAUAGUUUGCAGAAGUACUCAAUUAAUGCGCCCGUUUUCGUUAAAAAAAUGUGUUUACCAAUGCAUUAAUUUGAAUGCAUGCAUGUGUGACCAAGAACUUUUACAUGCAUUGAUGAGUUUCUUUUAAAUCUUGCAUGCAACAAUUUAAUGCAUCUCAAAAUCUGAAAAUCUGAUGGGAAGCAAUUAAAUUAAGACUUAUAAAAUGGAAAAACAUUUUUUUAAAUAAACCCAAUAAACGAGGGAGUUAUAUAACACAGGUAUAUGUUGCUCUGAGUUGAACUUGUACCUCAGCAACCAAAACUAAGACUAUCAAUUAAGUGAGUAAGUAAUGUCUUGAAGCCACCCAGAAGCAAGGCAAUGAAUGAACUAGAUUCGUAUGAACUGAGUGCAUGUUUGAACAUAACUGUCCAUAAAUAACAAUCACGACCAACCAUUCACCAAAUGCAUCGAAACUAGUUAAGGAGCGGACCAACGAGCCAUGUGUGUAUCCACACCGGCAAAUAUAAGUUGCUCACAUGAAUACGGGGGAGAGGAACCAUCGAGCCCUCGGGCACACUCCAUCCACAGUUAAUUCAAUAAGGAUCGUAAGGAAACCAGUAUUAGGUCACCUACAGGUGUCAUGGAAACCGGCCGGUGAACCACAUGGGAUUAGGAGGUAUUGGGAAUCAUGCUCAACCAUUGCAUAAGCUCUGCCCAAUGAAAUCAGCUUGUGUUACACAUAACGGUUUCACAAUGUUGGUUGUGAGAGCAACAUGGGUUAGUCUCCGUUUGGAAGCUGGUAGCAUGGGUUACUUUUUUUCAGCUAGUAGUGUUGAUAAUUGAUCCUGCAGGGAGAGGUUUGUUCCUGGAUCACAAAGAGGGAGUAAAUUUCCGGGGAGUGGGGAUAUGAGAGGCAACAAAGUGGGAUCCACCAGAUGACCUGGUUGUUGGUUUUUUUUUGAGAGAGAAGACAAACCCGUUUGUUGUAUUGCAUGCCUCCUUUUUAAUAGUGUUUUGGAAGUUUGAGCUUCGGCUGAGGGCCUCAUUGCCCAUGUAAGAACUGGUUCAGGGCCCACGCUUUUUGGUGUAGCUGAAGAUCAACAUAAUACGAUCAUUUGUUUUCUUGGGAGAGAGCCUUUUAUAUGCGUGUUUUAACCUGACAACCUUGAUGUUUACUGACUUUACACUUCGCCUUGACCAACCUUCAUGUUUACUACCCGCACUCCGAAUCAUGGUUUGCAGAUCAAAAGAUCAGGGAGGUCUAGGUGUACAGGAUCUCAAGGUCAAAAAUGUUGCCUUACUUAGUAAACGGCCAUAUAAGCUUGGUACCGAGGAUGAUAUCUCAUGAACCCUCUAGCGUAGUAAGUAUUUAGCCACUAAACCAUUGUCUCAUUUAUGUUGAAAACCUAGGGUCUCGCAUUUUUGUGUGGUAUUAUAGCGACAAGGAAGCAUAUUUCCCCCUUUGAUCCUNNNNNNNNNNNNNNNNNNNNNNNNNNNNNNNNNNNNNNNNNNNNNNNNNNNNNNNNNNNNNNNNNNNNNNNNNNNNNNNNNNNNNNNNNNNNNNNNNNNNNNNNNNNNNNNNNNNNNNNNNNNNNNNNNNNNNNNNNNNNNNNNNNNNNNNNNNNNNNNNNNNNNNNNNNNNNNNNNNNNNNNNNNNNNNNNNNNNNNNNNNNNUGAAUACAUCCGCAAAGGCAGUGGCCAUGAAAACGGACAAGUGGAUAAUGACCACUCACCUACGCCAGAGCAGCAGCCACCCCCUGUGCUCUAUGUGGAAUCAAUGAAAAAGAAGGGUUUAUGCUACUUGAACUGUGGGGACAACUUGUUGUGCUUGGCGUGGUUGGGCACAAGUGUUGACCUGUUUAACGGUGCGGAGAAAAAGGACUCGACAUUUUGGAGGUUUCACGAGAACUUGCACUACUCACCUUAUGACAAGGAAAAUAUUGGUGAUCGGGAUGAGAGCUUGCUAAGCCAUUGAUGGUACACCAUACAAGAGGUCGUCGGCAGGUUUUCCGGUGCAUAUGCACAAACGCAAAAUUAGUGGCCAAGUGGCUUGGGAAUCCACGAGCUCAUAUGUUUUUCGUUCCUGUUGGUCAUGUGAUUGUUUUACUCUAUAUUGCAAUUUGUUGAUCAUGUGAUUGUAUUGCUUUCCUAGCCUGGCCUUAUGGUGGAGUUGUACAAUAAGAACAUGGGCAAGCCAUUCAAGAUGCUCCAUUGUUUGAGCAAGUUGAAUGGGCAAAGCAAGUGGAGUGAUAUUNNNNNNNNNNNNNNNNNNNNNNNNNNNNNNNNNNNNNNNNNNNNNNNNNNNNNNNNNNNNNNNNNNNNNNNNNNNNNNNNNNNNNNNNNNNNNNNNNNNNNNNNNNNNNNNNNNNNNNNNNNNNNNGUGCUCCAAGCGGUGGAGUUGGAGGAGGGCUUGCACCAACCACCCGUGUGGCGAGGUCGAGGGGGGUAAAUGGGAGAACGGGAAGGAGAAGUGAGAAGGGGCGGCGGCUUAGAUGAUGGAAAAGCGGGAUGACAUCAUGGCAAAGGAGGAGGCGAGUGCCAAGUGCAACGGGCUCAAGGAGGAAAAGAAGGAAGAGAGGUUUAACACGUUCAUGCAUAUUGGAAAAAAAAGAAGGUGGAUCUUGAGGAGAAGAAGCCUGUAUCCAGCAAGCAUGUGAGAAGUCCAAGGUCCUGUACAUGAAGGCCGACAACUUGGAUCUUAAUGUGACGAAGUUUGUUCACCAAUUGCGUAGCGGCAUCUUUGCACACUAUGUGGAAAAGGAGGGGCAAAAAUGAGACAUUCGGUUCGGACAUCCGGUCCUUUUGUUUGUUUGAUGGAUGUGGUUUGUGAAACUUGUUGAACAUCUGGUGCUAGUGCUUUUAGUUGCAUUUGUUCGCAAGUACAUAAUGUAUCGUCGAAGCUAUUAAUAGNNNNNNNNNNNNNNNNNNNNNNNNNNNNNNNNNNNNNNNNNNNNNNNNNNNNNNNNNNNNNNNNNNNNNNNNNNNNNNNNNNNNNNNNNNNNNNNNNNNNNNNNNNNNNNNNNNNNNNNNNNNNNNNNNNNNNNNNNNNNNNNNNNAGAGAAGUGUUGGAUGGUCGUCACCCGGUCGGAUUUCCAUGGACAUGUCAAGACCCAUUUGCGAAUGAUCCGUGUUGCAGACACCCUAAGGAAUUUGGGUUGCAGAUACCCAGGUCCAAUACAUUUUCGUUGGUACAUAUCAUCAAGAAUCUACCUUGGGUUCCAUCACCAACUCCUCUUUCGGCGUGCACAUAUACUCUCGACUAUUUCUUAUGAGAAAUGAGGUGGUAUUAACACUUUCAGGCUGUAGACUUGCAUGGUCCGGAGUUGUGUUCAGGGGUGCCACAUACAUAGCCAUGCAGGUGACUGGCUAUCUCGUCUUUCACUGCAAAUGGUGACCCUGUGAUUAGCAUUUUACUGCUGUGGAAUUCAAUUACUAAAGUGUCAUGCUAACCGUGGCAGGCAGAGGCAGCCACCUGUUUCCACUUUAGUUUUUGCUGUUCUUGUCCUGCUUCACAGUUGAUUUCAGGACAGAAGAAACUAUGUCGGCCUGUUUCAGAAAUAACCAACUAGUUUGGCCCUUUGCUUCAUAGAGUAGAGGCUCUUUUUGAACUCGGUAGGCCCUGACUUGUUCAAGCUUGCACUGUCAAAGAAUUUUUAUACGGCACAGAGGCCGGCUACGAAAGAUGAGCUAUGUAAAAGAAACAAUUUAUUUUUGUUCCUGACCUGAAUAACAAAACAGAGAUGAUCUAGCAACAGCAUUGAGCUAUCUUCCCUUCUUUCGCUCCUCUUUCUGUUCAUGCAACUUCCCUGUAAAAUUUGCGCAUGAUUCGGCGAAUCAGAAGAGAAGUUUCCAUGUCUGUGCAGGUUUCUUGAAGCUUGGAGCUGCUGUCUUGGAAUCUGAACAUUGUUAGUUGGUUUCAGGUGUGCCAUUGUUGCAGUGCUUUUUUGCAUGCUAGGGGCGACCGACGACGGUACUCUGAAGAUCUUGGCUAAAUUUGAAAUAAUAAUGCAGUCCUAGUGCCUGUGAUGCUUGUCUCUCUUUCUUGUUGCAAAAUAUUCUGAAACCACCGAGCUGAUUUCGCAUGUAGGGGGGCACCAGCACCAUCAGAUUCGAAAUGGAUGGACUCCAUUUGAUCAACGCAUUGUAAUCCGGACCCCCAAAACAAAAAAAGGAUGGUGACACAAGGCCUGAAAGCGGCGCUUAUUUCUUCAGGGCGCUGUUCACUUUGGGGCCUCGCCUCACUCACUUUUACCAUGCCCCCGCCCUCUCCCCUAGAGUUACCCCAAAGAUGAAAUUCUUUCCCGUCUCUUUCGCCACCCACACGACAAGAGCCCGGAAAUUUUUACCCCUCACGAGAGAGAGGGAAUCUACGUCUACGUAGCUCCAGUUCAAAAAAAGGAAAAGAGGAGAAAAUAAAGACGGAGCGCAAGUACAGCCUUAGGGAUCAGGAUCCAGAGUUUCGGACAGCAAUGGCUCAUGCAACUUUACUUUCUUCCUCCUUACUCACUCUCACUCUCUCACUCAAUGUCUUUUUUACUCACGAGAAGAAACAAGAGAUUGUUGGAAAGAAAAAGGAAACAGCACCAACUCAGAGAAGGGGGUAAAAGCAGGGGCGCCAUGGCGAUUGCAAAAGAAAAGCGGGCAUGGCUGGCUGGCGGGCAUGGCAAUGGGCCGCUUGCUUUGGUGCUCCUCGCCACCAUGGCUCGGGUCCUUGAAAAGCACGGCAGAAUCAGGCUAAAGCAAAAGAAGCCCAGAAGAAAACAAGAAGCCGGAAUACUACCGCUCGCAACAGCGACUGACACAAGCCCCUGCUGCUUCUACUUCCCCCUCCCCCUCCCCGUCCCCCCGCAUUAUAAUAUGCAGCCACGCCGCAGCAGCCGCAGCAGCCAGCCAGCGUCGUCGCAGCCGCACCGCCACCCCCACCCACGCCCACCGGAAAAGGAAGAAGAAACAGAGGAGAGGGAGGAGGAGGCGAGCGGCGGCGGGGAGCGCGUGCCUGGUUGGUGGUGCUAUGAGAGGGCCGGCCGCGUCCGGGGGGCGGGCAUCGGCGGCGGCGCCGGCCGUCUUGUUCGGAGUUCUUGUUUUGGUGUCGUUGGUGGUCGUGGUGGCCGAGAGGCCGUCCGCGCCGGCGAUCGGAGGGCGGAGGAUGCUGCUGCCGGGCGACGGAGGAGAGGCCAGGAGGACUCUGGAGGAUUUCAGGGCCGACGAUCCUUUCCAGGACAGCGCGAGGAGGGUGCCCAAUGGCCCUGAUCCUAUCCACAACAGGUACUUCACUACACCUUUCUUCAGUGUGUUGCAUUUCAAGAUUGCCUCUGAAUUUUGUGAGUUGGUUCCUUUCUCUGUUUUCCUCUUUGCGUUCAUCCAACUUCAGUUCGUAUGUUAGUUUCAGAGUCAUGUGGCCCUGUAAAAUCUGCAAAUUGAUUUGGCAAAUCGGAAUAUAAGUUCCUAUGUUCUUGGCCAUGAAUAUUGUCUAGGUUUCUUCAAGUUUGGUUCUGUUGGUUUGAAAUCUGAAAAUGUUAUCCGGUUGGUUGGUCUGAGCCUCUGAGGUGUGCCAUUGUUACAGUGCUUUUUUGCAGUGGGGUGACAGACUCUAUACUGAAUUUUUUUGACCAAGUUUGAAAUAAAGCACUCUUACUGCCUGUGAUGGCUCUUUACCAAGAACAAGUUCUUGGUUUAUGACAUGCUUAAUGUGCUAGGAAAUACGUCUAGUGUUUAAUGUGCCAUCUGACAGGCUGCACUAGUUCACUCUGUAGCAUUCCAUAUGCUCUGUUUUCCUGAAUUUUCUUAUGCUGGGCAAAAAGAGAAAUAUAUAAGUAUUCAGGAACUCAACAUGUUUUAAUGGAUAAUUUUGUUUGACCAUAAAGGGGUGAUAAGAACAAAGAGAUGAGAAUGUAAACAAAGAUGGCACAGCUCUUUUUCCUCCUGCCUCACACCCACAUUCCCCAAUGAUGUUGUUCAAAAAAAAGCAUAUGAUAUUUUUGUUGUUGUCGCCGGGACACAUUUCCCUAUGAUGAUAUGCUAUUCUUUCAGCUAUAGCAAGUUGAUUAGUCUUAUUCCUCUUUUCUGUUCAAGAAAUUAUUAUCAUACUCAGUAGCAAAGGAUGCACAUACCAGACUUGGAAUGAGUAAUUAUUUGCAUGAAAGCAGUCAAACAAAGCACACCCCAUGAUUAACUAUCAACACAACAGAUGGUCUAACGGUUCAGUGUAGGGUCACCUGAAAGAAACACAGGCUGCCAAAUGCUGCUCCAAUCCCUUCAUCACCCUCUAAUCUGCUGAAAUUUUCUUCAGGGGUGCCGGCAAGUCCGGAAGAUCGCCGGGGCGAGAGUAGGGGCGCGGCGCGCACCCAUGGCGUGGAAGCUUCCGACGGUUAUGGUGGGGCAGGAAGAUGGUGCAUUGCAUUGCAUCUCCUGAACAAGGGACAACAAACAAGAGCUACUACAAUAUAUUAUGGUGGGUCUGGAUGGAUGUUGUGGUGUAACUAGGGAGGGGGAGGUGGCCUGGACUUGGGACUAUCUUGUUCUAAGCACUGCUAUUUAAGAAGGUUUUAAGCAUAAAAACUUUAGCUUUUUUGCGAAAACAGAGGCUGUGUUCUACUGGUGGUGUGGGGGGUUCAGUUUUGUAAAGUGACCAAGCUUCCCUCUCAAGCACCAAAGAUUCUUGGCAAUGGGGGCAAGAGCUCCUUUCCCUUUUUUUUUUGCAGGAGUGACUUUAGUCAUGUUAGUACUCCUACUACUAUUAGCACAUUGUUUGGUUUUGAUGCCCACUUUCUUUUUCCCUGGUCACUGUAUCAGUUUCAGAACCACACAGUAAGUUUUGGCAAAGAGGAAACAAACAAACAAACAAGAGGUCAGCAAACAAGGACCAAUGCACAAUCUGCAGGUUCUCACCUAAUAAAGUAACCCAGCUCGGUAGAGAGGCUUUUGCCAGUUCCCCAUCUUGCUUUGCCUAGCCUAUUGUACAUGUCCACUUGUUUUUUUCCCUCCAAAAUUUCAAAAUUUAUGCUAAUUUAAACUUAUUUUAAACACACAGCAUCCAACAUGGCACCAAAGAACAAUAAGCAAUUUGCCACAACAAAAAUAAAAAAGAAACAGGUGAAAACUAAAGUGGUAGCAAAGAGAAAGCAGAGGAACAACUGCCAGCCAAAGCAGCAAGCGAGCAAUGCUUUUCCUCCCCCAACACACCCUUCUGAUUCCCUCCUCCUGUCUUUAACUUCUUUUCUUGUAGCUUAGUAGUAGCUUUGAACAGCUAAAGCGAGCUCCCAAAGCAAGGGCUGUGGUGGUGAGAGCACGCUGUUCCUGUGGGACUAAAACAUGUUCUCUUCUUCUUGACCAGUCAGUCAUGCUCAUGCUGUGUGUGUGUCCUGGAGAUGGGGUGUACUGGUACUGGUACUGCAUCAUGUGCUGCAAUGGAUAUAUGGAUGGUUGGAUGGGGCUGCUUUGCGCAGUGCAACAGAUGCAGACCAAAGUGGGGACAAAGGUGUGUCUCCAUCUACCCCCCACCGGGUCCCGGCGUACACCCAGCAUUUGUACUCUUGCUUCUCAUCCCACAAGCAGCAGCGCACACAGCUGCAAGCCCAUGUACUUGUUCUAGCUCCAGUUUUUUCCAAGUUAAAAUGUCAAUUUCAGGUGGUAAGAGGCAUUCAACAAGAAAGCAUUUUUUUUCUCCGAAAGAAUAGAAAACAAAAUCCACUUUACCUCCUCCACGUUUGGAGAGUCUAGGAGCAUCUCCAAUAGCUACCCUAAAAUAGGGCACCAAGAAGAGUUUGGAGUAAAAUUUAGGGCACAAAAUAGUUGUUCUUAGGGCACGACAAAGUGAGCGUCUUCAACAGCUGCCCUAAAAUAGGGCAGUAAAAAUCAAAACUCAUUGUUUAUUAACAACAUAGAUCAUCACAUUGCAUUGCAUAACUUCGAUGACAACACAUGCAAAGUUCAAACAUAGAACGACAAACAACCAAACAUUCAAACUUCUAGACUAUUACUAGCACAACGGACACACUAGUCGUUGUCGAUGCUAUCCCACUCAAUGUCGGAACCCUUGUCCUCAGGUUGGAUAUCGUCGACGUUGUACUCGACCUUGACCACCUGUGAUGAAGGGCCUGCCUCGUCGUUAUUCUUCCCCUUCUUGAGCUCCAUGUCCCUCUUCCAGUACCACUCGUACUCGUACUGCACAUACUCUGGAUGCUCUGCCGCAAACCUCGCCAUCAUCUCCGCAUCACUCUCCCAGAUGUCGCCCCGCUCCUCAACAACAAUGGGGGUCUUCGACUUCGUCGGGUGGGAAACAAUGAUCACCUUUGGACCGACGAACUCCGCUUUCUUCAACAACUGGAACUCCGGGAAGUUGAGCUUCCCACGUGGCAUCUCAAGCCUCCACGCUGCGAUGUCAUAGGCGUGGGCGGCGAGCUCCCACAUUCGGAAGGUGUCAAGCCAGUAUAGCCAGCUAACAUGCUGGAACUCCACGCCGGAGCGCCCGGAGGUCCACGGCCGCACGCCCUUGAAGCUGGCCUUCGGCAGCAUGGCUAUGGCACGGGUGUGACAACGACGAUGAGGGUGGCGACGAUGAUGCGGUUCAUAAGCAGCUUCGGAAUGAUCUGAUUGAGCAUUUGUGGGCACUUCGAGGGGAGAACUAAAAAAUGUGUCUGAAUAAGGUGAAUUAAAAUUUGAACUAUUCUAUUGGAAAACUUAAUGUUUGAAGCCGUAAUAUUUAUAUUUGAAUUCUUAUUGCAUUGGAAUAUUUGCAGAACAUGAUUAUGGACGAAGGAUGACAUUCAUCUUUAAUUAUUAGUGCUUCAGAUAUAGGGAAAAGGUCGGGACGGAUAUUUGGUGCAUAGGGUUAGAUGGCCGUCCGGUGUCUGCGGACACGUCCGGGCGUGUCCAUGGACAUUUGGGGUGUCCGUUUUGAUGUACGGCUUUGGAGAUGCCCUAAUGCCAUACUACUAAGAACCUACUCAGUUUUAUAAUUUACAUCUCAGUAACCACGCAAAUUCAGUUAAGCUUGGUGGGGCUGCUUUGAAAUUCAGUUAAGCUUGGUGGGGCUGCUUUGUGCAGUGCAACAGAUGCAGACCAAAGUGGGGACAGAGAUGCGUCCUGUUUAUCGUCUACCUCGGGGUCCCGGCAUACGCCCAGCGUUUGUACUCUUGCUUCUGAUCCCAGGAGGCACAGAGCUUCAAUCCCAUGUAUGUACUCACGGCUCUAGCUGGUACUCCCAUGUUACUAUUCAGCAAGCAAGUCACUUUUCUCUACUAAAAAACAAGAAACAAAAUUUGAAAAUAUCAUCUCUGAAGACAUCAGUCAGAAUUGAAAGAAAUUUUUGCAAAGACAUUGUUGGAAAUAUUUGAUACCAUCAGGUUAUAUCCAAAUUCUUCUGAAACAAAGUCAAUUCCCUUUUUGCUUUAUAUCAAGAUGCUCUGAGGUCAAACUACAUGACAAGGAGAGUAAACAUCUAAUGCCAUGCUACUAAGAACCUAUUUGGUUUUGUAAUCUACAUCUCAGUAACCAUGCAAAUUCAGUUAAGAUUGGUGCCGGGGUUCAA